AACGAACGCUGGCGGCGUGGUUUAGGCAUGCAAGUCGAACGGGAUUCGGUGUAGCAAUACAUUGAUGAGAGUGGCGCACGGGUGCGUAACGCGUAUGCAACCUACCUUUAACAGGGGAAUAGCCCCGAGAAAUCGGGAUUAAUACUCCGUAACAUUGCGGUGUGGCAUCACACUGCAAUUAAAGAUUCAUCGGUUAAAGAUGGGCAUGCGUGACAUUAGCUAGUUGGUGAGGUAACGGCUCACCAAGGCCACGAUGUCUAGGGGUCCUGAGAGGGUUAUCCCCCACACUGGUACUGAGACACGGACCAGACUCCUACGGGUGGCUG
rnacentral:rRNA from 1 species